AGCUUUUUGAAUCCGUGCAGAGAUCUUGUCAGGCACCAACCAAUCAGGGCUGACCAGAUUUCCAAGAUAAGUGAACUU
rfam:Schistosoma haematobium scaffold62_12, whole genome shotgun sequence.